rnacentral:tRNA from 1 species
GCCUAGAUGGCUUAGUCGGUUAAGCAUCUGACUUCAGCUCAGGUCAUGAUCUCACAGAUCAUGGGUUCGAGCCCCGCAUCGGGCU